AGUGGAUGGGGAGCAACCUAGUUGUGCGUGUUUAAAGGUAGUGCCAAGAAAAGCGAUGAUCAUGUUGAAAAUCAAUUCCCGGUACCCGAAACCGACACAGGUGGGCAAGUAGAGAAUACUAAGGGGCGCGAGGUAACUCUCUCCAAGGAACUCGGCAAAAUGACCCCGUAACUUAGAAGGGGUGCCACCGAGAGGUGGUCGCAGUGAAGAGGCCCAGGCGACUGUUUAGCAAAAACAUAGGUCUCUGCAAACUCGAAAGAGGAGGUAUAGGGGCUGACGCCUGCCCAGUGCCGGAAGGUUAAAGAAGUUGGUCAGUCUUAGGAUGAAGCUAGCGACUGAAGCCCCGGUGAACGGCGGCCGUAACUAUAACGGUCCUAAGGUAGCGAAAUUCCUUGUCGGGUAAGUUCCGACCCGCACGAAAGGCGUAACGAUCUGGGCGCUGUCUCGGAGAGAGGCUCGGCGAAAUAGGAUUGUCUGUGAAGAUACGGACUACCUGCAUUUGGACAGAAAGACCCUAUGAAGCUUUACUAUAGCUUGGAAUUGUGUUCGGGCUUCCUGUGCGCAGGAUAGGUGGGAGGCGUAGAAGGUAUUCUUGUGGGGAUACUGGAGCCAACGGUGAGAUACCACUCUCAGGAGGCUAGAAUUCUAACUUAAUUAAGGACAGUUUCAGGUGGGUAGUUUGACUGGGGCGGUCGCCUCCAAAAAGGUAACGGAGGCGUACAAAGGUUCCCUCAGACUGGUUGGAAAUCAGUCGAAGAGUGCAAAGGCAGAAGGGAGCUUGACUGCGAGAAGUACAGUUCGAGCAGGGUGGAAACACGGUCUUAGUGAUCCGACGGUGCUGUGUGGAAGGGCCGUCGCUCAACGGAUAAAAGUUACUCUAAGGAUAACAGGCUGAUCUCCCCCAAGAGUUCACAUCGACGGGGAGGUUUGGCACCUCGAUGUCGGCUCAUCGCAACCUGGGGCGGAAGUACGUCCCAGGGGUUGGGCUGUUCGCCCAUUAAAGCGGUACGUGAGCUGGGUUCAGAACGUCGUGAGACAGUUCGGUCCAUAUCCGAUGUAGGCGUGAGAAUAUUGAGAGGAGCCUUCCUUAGUACGAGAGGACCGGGAAGGACGCACCGCUGGUGUACCUGUUAUGAUGCCAAUUGUAAACGCAGGGUAGCCAAGUGCGGAGAGGAUAACCGCUGAAAGCAUCUAAGUGGGAAGCCCACCUCAAGAUGAGUAUUCUGGUGUAAGGUCACGGGAAGACGACCCGUAAAUAGGCACGAGGUGGAAGUGCAGAGAUGUAUGAAGCCGAAGUGUACUAAUAGACCGUCGGCUUGACC
rnacentral:rRNA from 1 species